GGCGACGCCCAAUUAUAAGACGCCGUGACAGACAGCAGAGAGGCAAGGAAGAAGAAGUGACCCCUCGGAAAGUGUGGCGAGAUGAAACGAGACAGACGCGCAACUAUUACAAGCAACCAGUCCAGGGUGCACACCGCCUCAGUC